UACAGAGGUCUCGAGCGUUGUUCGGAUUCAUUGGGCGUAAAGGGUGCGUAGGCGGCGGGCAAGUCUGAUGUGAAAUCCCGGGGCUCAACCCUGGAACUGCAUUGGAUACUGCCUUGCUAGAGUACUGGAGAGGAAACUGGAAUUUACGGUGUAGCAGUGAAAUGCGUAGAUAUCAGGAGGAAUACCGAUGGCGAAGGCAGGUCUCUGGGCUGACACUGACGCUCAUGCACGAAAGCGUGGGGAG
rnacentral:rRNA from 1 species